UCAUGUGACAUCACAGGGGCGACGGCCAGCGUCACUAAGUACUUCCUGCAGUCGGAGGCGGCGGAAGCUCGAGCGAACGCCUCCACUAUUGACCCCGGCAGCCCCGUGGAAACCUCUGGGGCUUUACGGCAGCUGACAGAGGACCGACUGAACCAGACCAGGGAGGGGUUCCUGAAAGGGCAUACUGAGCAUGCUCAGAGGCUGGACGACCUGGCAGGACAGCUGCAGACUCUGGACCAAUCAGAGCUCAGCCACAAGAUCUGCGGCAGUCCAG